GGCACGCACCAGAGAGAGUGUGCGAGAGGAGGCAUUACCAUGGACGUCCUGCCUGAAAACGGCAGCCCAGGAACCCUCUCUCCGCUAACCACCACCACCGCCGUGCCAUGCCCUAAGUAUUGCCUGCUGUAAGAAGAAAAGAAGAACUCCUGGAGAAGACAGAGCUCCACUGAAGACACCAUUCGCUGGAAACAUUCCUGGGUAACACAAACUGAAAAGGACUUUGGAAACUCUUUCUCUCCCUUCCGAUGACAAGGACGAACCUGGGAACACCUCCUCCGAGCCAAACCAGCGGCACCCUUCCUCAGACCUCCUCCAGCUAAAGCAAUGACAAGUGAAAACCCAGACUGAAUUGCUGGUAAAACAGGAGGCAGUGAGAGAACAAGUGAAAUAAGGAGAACAGCCUUCUGACCUUUGGAAAAAAACCCAGCUGCUCCAGAAGUGUCCUGCUUCUCUGUCAAGUUUCAGGAAAAAUACUGACUGCAGGUACAGUGUCAAUUGAAGCAACACAAAUAAGAAAUAAUGUGGAAUAACUGAAUGCUGAGGAAAUCCAUUUGAAAACAUUUGUUGGCAAACCACCCGUGCCCUUCAAAUGGAUUACUCCACAAAAUGAUAUUCCACACACUUCCAUUUGAAGAGUUUACAAUUUUAUAUGUUGCACACUGUCUGGCUUAAGUCACACCAUGUAUAAUGGUGCAUAUCUUUAAUUUUUCAAAUGCAGAUUCCUCCCCCCAUUCAAAUCUCCAUUACAUCACUCAAAGUUAUACUUGAAAGCAAUUCUAGCUUCUAAGUAAUUUAUGAACUUCAUGUAGUUAGCAUUUUUGGAGGAUUCUUUUUUUUUUUUUUUUUUUGGAGUGUCAAUAAUUUGACAAAUUUGAUUGCCUGAGACUUGUACCUAGUUUUCACAAGUUUAUUAGGAGUUCAGAAUGGUAUUUGUCAGAUUGGACUAUAUUUGUAUAUUCAGAUAUCACAUGCAAAUGCUGUAUAUGAGAUGAAAUUUGCAGGUAUGGGCUAUGUUGUAAAUCCUUAUACUGCACUAGAAACUUCUGAUGUACAAAGAAGAACCUCAUUUCAAACAGGGCUUUACUUCUCAGUACCUGCUACAUAGAUAAUUGAUGGGCUUUUAUUCAUGGUGGUUUUUUUUUUCCUCUGCUAAGUUGUAAUUGUUAAAGGUUCCCCCCUCAUUCUGAAAACAAUCGUGGAAGUUCACUCAUACAAAGGAGAGCAAGUGGGAUGCAUAAGAAAGGCAGAGUUUUGUAGGAGAAGGAACAAAAUGAGAAAGCAGCCCAGAACUUUUGGGUCAGCAUCACUUCCAUUAACUCAGUCUGAUUCAUUUUUUUUUCCCUCUGUAGCAAUUUUUGCUCCUUCUUUUCUACCCUCAUUACAUUUUAUGUUGCUUCAGGAUUGGCAGAUACUAUUCUGUGAGAUGCAACGCCUGCCAGAUGUUCCCACAACAUCAUUGUAACACAUAAAAUCUGCAUUCUUCACAUUUCUGGCCAUGCAAGGCCACAGGGAACACAAAACAAUCCUCUUGGCCAUUUUAUUAUAUUUUGUUAUAUUUUCUAGCCUGAAUCAGCCACCAACCUUGCUUCUAUUCUUAAAGGGGAAAUUAUCAUGUUCGUUUUGCAGGAUUAAAAAGGUUUAUUGAGUCUUCCUGUAAAAUUGCAGUGUAGAAUUUGUUGUGAACAAAGCAGAGCUGAGUCAUUGACUAUAGCAGAUAGUUUACAGACAGAAGUGAAUUGUGCUCUUAAAAUCUUGAUUUUUAACAGGGUUUCCAGAAACAAGUUGUGGUAGCUUGAUUUUUGUCCUAUGUGUAUUUUGAGCUUUACAGAAAACCUGACAGUUUUUUAAUGCAGUCAUAGCAUAUACAUAUGGAACAGAAAUAUGUUUGCAUGAAAAUCCAAUUUAAGUUAUGGUGUUGAACCACUCAGUACAGCUGGAUUCUUCAUUCAGAUUCUCCUUAAAAUUCUGAUCCCGAGAUAAUUGAAACACAAUUCUAACAGACUUCUUCGAAGCCCAGGCAGAGCUAAUCCAAACAGGAGAUGCAAUAGAACACUCCACUAUCUUCUAAGACUGGGAUUCAUCUGUUGACCAGCAUCCACAGAGUGUAAAGCAUGUGAGUUCUCUUUUUCUUGUCUAAACUAUUUUGAAUGAGGUCUCUUUUACAUGCUAGUUUGGCAAGCUUCUAAGGCAUUUGUGCAAAGUGAUGAUGCAAGAGCAACCUGAUUCAACAUUGAAAAAUUCACAAAUAACAUCCAGUUGUAAUUCAAGUGAAAAACUACAGCUAAGAAAAGCAAUCAGCCUACAGUAUCAGCUGAGCUACUAUACUCUGCAGUGUUCAAAGUGAAAUAUGUUUACUGGUGCCUUCAACUCAGAGGUAUCAUUGUGAAGUUAAAUAUACCAAGGAUUCAUUCUGUUUUUUUUACAUAGAUUGAAUUGGGUUAACAGUGAUUUAAAAAACAUGGAUAUACAUAUGUAGGGAAAAGACAGCAGUGGAAGAAAAAUGCAGUGCCAGAAAUUACCAUCUGGAAACAGACUAUACACAUAGUAUUUCUGUAUUAAAAUGAAGAGUUAAUUUUGAAGUCCAAAACAGUUUUAAGAUAACUUAGCACUCUCUAAGGCCAUUCUUAGGAAUCAAGUGCAUGACAAUUAUUUAAGAUGGGGAUAUUAUAAAGGACUUCAGUUUAAAGCACUGGAAUAGCCAUCUGAUGUCUUUACCAUCUUGAUGAGAGAAGUCUGUGACAUUUUCAAUAUGGACACACUAAAGUCACAAAAAAACUCCUUAUAAAUUCUUUGUGUGGGUUUCUGCUUAGGUUAGGGUUAAAUAGCAGGUAACAUUGCCAGCGAGAUAGUAGUUUUUAGUUUUCUGCAUGCAAAACUCAAUAAAGUAGUAGAAUUUAGGUAGUACACUCAAUAAUGGGGAGGUCUUAAAAGCAGCAUUCUAAGACCCUUUUGUUUUGAACCACCAUGAGAGCUUGUAUUUACUGGAAGGAACACUUGGCCUGGUAUCGUGUAAAAAGUUGCACAGCAUAGCCUCAAUUUCAAAGAUGGCAUGGUUGGGUAUUUUUUCCCCAGGAAAAGUUGAGGAGGAAAACACUGGACAAAAAGUUAAAUCUAUGCCUGUCAGGAUACAGCGAUGGCUGUUGUGCUGUGUUACAUAAUCCAUGUUUUCCUGGUAUUUGAGUAGAAGAUGGAGCAGUUGUGGGUCACGCUUCAGGCGGAAAAAGAGUUUUAGCUGGCCCAAAGCAACUUGAAACUUAGCAUGCAAGACUUGUAAAGUAGCCACUGCAUGAUUUUUAAGCUUCACCUAUGCUUACAGGAGCUUCUGUGUUUUGCUUUUGAUAAUCAGCCAGGUGUUCAGGAAAUUCAGAUUUCAUUUCUUUUUACAUGUUGGUAGGUCAGAAUAAUAAAACUGUGCUGUGGAUUCGUUGAUAAGGAAGACAGGAGAAGCUUGUGAAAUUGAGUUCUAGAACUGGUCUUGCAUAAAAAAUGCUCAGGUUUAGAUGUGCUUGUGGUUUGGACUAGUAUCACCCAUCCAGUAUUUGUCUUUUUGUGACUCUAGCUUUAGGUGCUAACCUGUAAACAUCACAAUAGGUAGUCUUGUUACUUAGGAAGUUUGCUGUAUGCCUCAGUACUAGAUCCAAGAUGUUUAGCAGGACUUCACGUGACGAACAGUUAAACAAAAUCUUAUAUGAAUAAGGCACUAGUAAAUGUUUGCAGCAAACAACAAUUACAGUCUACAUUCUUUAAGAAUAAAGCCGUUCUGUUUAGGAAAUUGCCUUUAAUAUGACAGAGUUACCAAUGCCAGAUAGAAGGGAGUUAGAGAAAGUGCAUCUUUUGGAUUAUCUCUUUGAGAAACCACUGAAUGCAAAUUCUUGUUAAGUCUGGAAAUAGCCUGUGCAAUGGUGAUACUCUGGGGAAUUAAAGCAAGAGGAAACUGGUCUAGAUUCUGAUCCCUAAUAAACCAAAGUGAAAUUGCUCUAAUGGAUUUGCUCCAGACUUACUUACAUUGGUAGAGGGAUCUGAAGCAGGAAUUGAAGCUGCAAUGGCAAGUCUAGUUAAAUAGUAACAGUAAUUCAAACCAAAUAAUUGGCUAUAAUCUCCUUCUACUUCUUCAAGUAGAAUCUGAUAUUUUAUUAAUUUCCUAUGCAAUGAGGUCCAAAGAUGCACUUUGUUUUUUUGGCUGAUGUGACAGACCAAAGCCUUCUGUACUACUCUGGAGCUGCUACUAUUCUAAACGUUAUUAAAAUAUCAAUCCAUACUUUAUACGAAAUGAGGCUUGAAUCUGCCAGUCUAUUUGUAGUAUGUCUGACUGCUAAGUAACUUUAGAAGGUGUUCAAAAAUCUCUGAAACUCCUCCAUUUAUAAAAUCAGAACAUAACUGUCACUUCUAAAAUUAAUUUUACAUAUCAGGUCUUUUGAGAGAGUCACUGAAGCACCCAAAUUUGUUUUCCAAGCUGGUAAGAAUACAUUUGUAAACUAAUCAAUCUGGAUAAUACUCAUGACACUGUCCAGGAUUACUACUACAGUGUGAGUCAUUCAUGUGGUACAUUAAAUGGAAGGCCAGUGGUAACUCCGCAGUCUGAUUUCAUCACUAAGUCCUGCUUUGUAAACAGACAUCUCAGCUUUAACAUCUGACAAAUUCCUGUUCCACUCAGAUCCUCUAAUAUUUGUACAAGAUGUCAUUUAAAAAAAACUUAACAUAUUUCAACUAUUCAUAAUGCAAGGGGGGAAAAUGACAUUGCUCCAUUCUUGUAUAUUAUUGCCAUCAGGUGCUACAAUUAAGAGCUCUGGACAGUGGGGAUUUUUUUGUUUGUUUGCUUGAAUUUUUUUGGAUCUUGUGUAAGGACUUAAUCUCAAACUGUAGCAUCACCCAUUCAUAGGGACCUCAGAAGUUUUCCAGAUAUCUCAAUUAACCUUUAAGUAGGUGGUUGUUUUUUAAUAUGCUUGAUUUUGUCUUUAGCUUUGACUCAUAAGACUAAAUGCGCUGAUGCCAUAACUUGUCUGAAAUUUCCACCAGAUUAAUCCGGGCUAAUAUUUAUUUCUUUAACAAAACAAACAAACAGAAAUCCCACUAAAUAAGGGAAAUGUUGAGGAUCUCUGUCCCACACUUGCUAUGCAUAUUCUAAAUUAUAUACAGAAGCAAGAAAGUACAGAAAGUUCCCUUCAUAAAGAUCUUUCCUUCAUAACAACUCAGGCAUUUAAAAAUACCAAUUCAUUUUGCAGGUAUUUGUUUGUUUUCUGUCAGAAUACAUGCUGUCAUAUGUGUGUAGGCUAGUAAAUGGCAUGUGUUUAUCUGAAUAUUAGAAAACACUGACCAUUUGUGGUGUGCAGAAUUUUAUCUGUAAAGGCUGCCAACUUAAAAGUUUUUGUUACAUCGUUAUUUCACUAGGAUGAGGCAAAUCUUGGCAACUGCAAAAGAAACAAACAUUCUUUUGAAUUUCAGAAGUGUGCCUUUGGCAGCCAUAGCCAGUUUGGUGGUGUGCCUCUAGCUGGAAAUUUGAAGUUGUGCCUAUGUUAUACCUGAUUAGAAUUGCCUAAGAUGUGCUUACUUCAAAAGAAA